rnacentral:rRNA from 1 species
GGGCUGCAGUAUUUUGACUGUACAAAGGUAGCAUAAUCAAUAGUCUCUUAAUUGGUGACUUGUAUGAAGGAUUGGAUGAGAUAUAUACUGUCUCUAGUUAAUUUGUAGAAAUUAAUUUUUUAGUGAAAAAGCUAAAAUGAUUUUAAAAGACGAGAAGACCCUAUAGAGUUUGAUAAUUUAUUUAAUUAUUAUUAAUAUGUAAUUUUUUAAUUGAAAUUAAAUAAUUUAUUUUGUUGGGGUGAUAAAAAAAUUAAAUUAACUUUUUUUUAUUAUAAACAUUAAUUUAUGAUUAAGUGAUCCAUUUAUAGUGAUUAAAAGAAAAAAUUACCUUAGGGAUAACAGCGUAAUUUUUUUUUUUAGUUCAAAUAGGAAAAAAAGUUUGCGACCUCGAUGUUGGAUUAA